rnacentral:rRNA from 1 species
GGACUACAAGGGUAUCUAAUCCUGUUUGCUCCCCACGCUUUCGCGCCUCAGCGUCAGUCCUCUGAUAGAAGCUCGCCUUCGCCACCGGUGUUCUUCCAGAUAUCUACAGAUUUCACCCCUACACCUGGAAUUCCAGCUUCCCCUCAAGAACUCCAGCCCACCAGUUUCCAGCGCAUAUGCAAGGUUAAGCCCUGCGAUUUCACACCAGACUUGAUGAGCCGCCUACACGCCCUUUACGCCCAAUAACUCCGAACAACGCUUGCCCCAUACGUAUUACCGCGGCGGCUGGCAC